CUUUAAGACAUGCUGGACAUCAGUCAAGCAGUAAUUUCAGCAUGGUACAAGGUUAGCAAAAGGGUGUUUGCUGUAGUCUGAGGUAAGAAAAUAUACCAAGAUACUGGAUGAAGGAGGCCCAUCUGUAAAGUUGCUCAAGCAUAAACUGUCUGCCAAGUUAUUCCUAUAGUGGAUCCUAAACUGGAUGCCGGAGAUUGCUUAUAUCCUUGUUGAGGCAUCAUUUAGUUUUGUGAAUUGUCAGCAGAAUCUCAAUAGCUGGCUAUGCAAGAAACACAGGCUUGUAUUUAGGUAAGUAAAAAUUGAGAUAGGUUCCAGAUAACCAUCCAUGGAACCUUUAUGAAGCAAAAAUAAUGUCAGGAAGAAGAUACAUUUGACUUGGUUAGAAGAAAGGCUGUCGCAUCCAUAUGAUGUAGCUGAAAACAUGAUGUUGCUCGUUGAAUCCACUCCUUGAUCGCAUGAUAAAAAGGAAAUCUCAAAUCAUGGCAAGAUAUGAGUCGAACUAGUUCCGGGAUUUCUGCAAGCAAGAAAGGGUAUAAUCAGUACUUUUUACCGAAUUAACUUGUAAAUUAAAAAAAAAAUAGUGCAGGGAGAGUGCUUGCUUGCAUUCAGAUACAAAUGGGGAAAAUGAUUGAAUAUCUUCUAUUUGUUAAAUCAUAGUGAAUGGCAAAAAUGCAAAGAUCCAAAUAAACAUUAAGAAAUGAAUACAAAAGUUCAUGCACUGAUGGUUGAUUUUUGCACAAGCACAACUGGACAAUUCAUAUCACAAAUUGUCUAUCCUUGGAUUAGAAAUGCAUAUGGAGUUCAAAGCCCUACGUUUCAGACUAUACUUCGAACAUAAAAGAAAAAAACAAGAAGAUACUAGCAUUCGGUUCUCGCUAAAUCUUGGACUCCAGAAAUUGGUGACUGCCUACAACCAACAUGGUGGAAUCACAGGGUAGAAGAUGGCAAGGAGCUAGAGAUGAUAUGUAACAAUUGGAAUCUAAAACCAAGAAUUGCUGGCUUGUGGGAAAUGUUUAAGGUAACUUGUAACUACACAAGUUUUUGGUAUCUUAUGGUAUGUUGCAUUUUAAAUAAUUAGAGUUCUUUAUCUGAUUUACUUUUCUUUCCUAAAAUUUGAGGACUGCAAUUUUUUGGAGAGUUUGAUAGGAUCCCAACAUAUACAGACACUUGCAUAUGCAUACGAGCACUAUAAACACGAAUAUAUCCACAUAUAUAUCACAUGUUAGUCUUCCUAAAAUCUGAAACAGUUCAAUGAUUUCUAAGUAACCUGAUCUCAACCAAAUUAAAUGUUAAUUUCUCUGGUGGGGAGGGUUUCUUAAUCAGAUAACUAAAAAGGAAAUUCUGCUUUGUUCAUAAGGAGGCAAAACAGAAGGGAAGCCGAAGACCUAUCACACCAAAUCUGAGAAUUUCCAUAAAACUAAUCACAUGGUACAAGACAGUUACAAUGUACAAUUAAAUCACAUCAUAUAGGUGGGAAUGCAAAUGGCAUGUAGGAAAAUACGUUCAUAAAGCAAACAACUAAUUUGAAUUGAGACAGUUAAAAUCAGUUGUUAUAUUACUGUGAUAUAUUAGUCAAGCUGUAAUGUCAGUAUAGAAACCUUAAUUCUGAAGUCAGGGCAUGAGAUCACCGUGAUCCUGGAUGACAUGGGCAAUUUGAACACUUCCUCUUGCAUAAAAUGUCCUCUAAGUUAAUUACUUGUUGAGGCUGGGGCCGGGGGCACUAAUUUGGAUACCAGAGUGGCCAUGCAUACAUAAAAUUGAUUGCUCAUGAAGGCACUGUUAGUGAGCUGUCAUCAGAAUCUCAGUCGCUGGCUACACUGCAAACAUGAGCAAGAAAGUAAACAAAAACUGAGGUAGCCUUUAGCUAACCAAUCCAACGCUCCUUCAUGAAAGGAAAACCAUGCCACCAAGAACAAAGCUGCCUAUCACAUCCUUCUACAUAAAACUGAAAACUUGGCAAUGCUUGUUGAGCUCAUCUCCUCGCAAGGAGUCAACUAGCUCCAUGAAUUGUACAAGCAAGAAGGCUGUUAAAAUCACGAGAAUUUUUGGGGAAAAAACCCGGCAAUAUUAUGAAAGAAGAAGAGGAAUGCAUUGAAAUACAAUUGAGCCAAAAAAAAAAAGCAUUGUUAGACCACAUGAUUAAUUUUAAGCACAGCCAGUGGCAAAUCUGCAUAGAGACAAGAUAAACACUGGAAAUGGAUGCAAAAGCUCACAGAUUGAUGAUUAGUACCUGCCAAGCACAGCUGGGCAAUUGUUACCAAAUAUUAGCUGUCGUUAGAUUAGAAUGCUUACGGAGUUCAAAGCCAAUUUUCUGAUAGUACUUGGAAUAUAUCGGGUCCCAGAAAUUGGUGAGAGGUGACAGCCAUCCUACUGUGACCACUGUGGUGGAAUCAGAAACCAUCAUGCAAGACAAUAUAAUAGAAUU
rnacentral:lncRNA from 1 species